rnacentral:rRNA from 1 species
AUGGGGCUCUGCAUGUCCAGCGGCAGCGCGGCGGCGGCGGUGCCGGCAAAGGGACAGCCUGCCUCGACGGCUAUGGUACUGCUGCCAACGGGUGAGCUGCAGGAGUACCCGCGCCCGGCCACAGCGGGCCAGGCGCUUGACGACUCGGUGGCUGGGGACGCCGGUUGGUUCCUGUGCGACGCCGACGAGAUGCCGUUCGAAGGCCCCGUGGCCGCCGUGGGCGUGGCCGAGGAGCUCCGCCCGGGGCAGAUAUACUUCUUGCUGCCCGCUGAGGCUCGGCGGAACGGCCUCCGGCGCGAGGACCUCGCUGCUCUCGCUGUCAGGGCGUCUGCGGCCCUUGUUAAAAAGGCCAACACCGCAGCAUCGUCUGCCGGCGUUGGACGGCGGAGGCGCGCCGGCUCGGUGGCGCCGCUCGUCUUCGCCCCACCCCAGGAGGUCGUCGAGACCGUCGCUUACAAGACCGUGCCGGCGCUCGCAGCGAAGAGGCGGCCGGUGGCGCGUGCGAAUAGUUCCGGGAGGAUGCAGCCGCGCUUCGCGCCCGAUCUGACCGCCAUUCCCGAGUGCGAGUGA